rfam:Myotis lucifugus cont2.7577, whole genome shotgun sequence.
GUGUUGCAUGAGAGGAGAGAAGGCUAUCACUCCCCUUAACAAGGAAGGAAGAGGCUCUCAGGCCUAACAAUAAUUAGAUUAAGAAUUUAAAAUUAGUAUUUUUAAAUGAAUAGAUUUUA